rnacentral:lncRNA from 1 species
UCCUUCAUAUCUAGUUCCUCAAUAACCAAACAGAUUCCAUUAGGGUCAUUAGGAACUCACUAAUUUCAUGAAAAUGUACUAAUUACUAACAUGAUUACCAUUGACCAGAACACUAAAAAAGAGUAUAUUAGCUAAUGAGUAAUUGUGAUUGCUUCUUCUGGACUUAACUAUCUCUAAAUGGAUUGAACACAAUUCAGAACUCUAGAUCAAACUCUUAUCCUACUUUAAUCACAUCAAAAUAGAGCAAAAGAAUCAGAAAAUGAACCCGAAAUAGCCCCUUGAUUGAUAAACAAAGUCCAGUAAUUACAUGAACGAAAUGGAACCAUAGCCUCAAUCAAAAAUCACAAAGCAAUCCGACCCAGACGGAAUCGCGAACAAAACCUCGAAGACAAACAAUCGAUGGGGGUCAAUCAGACCAGAACUCGAAUCGCCACUGGAACGACGACCUCAAACCGUUUCUAACAUCUCAGCUCCAAAUCUGUUUAUAUUUUUCAGCAUGAGUGUGUGUGUUUUGUGAAGAAUAUAACAGGUAGUGAGGGGUUGUUCAUUUCUGCUCGACUGUGGCUAUCUUUUUGGUGUAUUUUCCACUGGUUCAGCGUUGGGAUCUGAAGGCGAUGGGGUGUUCUAAGUGAUGAAAGGGCUGUUUGUCUCGGGUUUUUUUUGGUUAAAAAUCAGACAUUUUCAUGGCUGCUUGAAGAAUAUGAUGAACAUGGUGUCCGAAUGUUUUAAAUUUUUUCUUUUUGUUCUCUCCGUCUCCGUCUGUCUUUUGUGUAAUUGUUUUCC